rnacentral:rRNA from 1 species
CCUACGGGGGGCAGCAGUGAGGAAUAUUGGUCAAUGGACGAGAGUCUGAACCAGCCAAGUAGCGUGAAGGAUGACUGCCCUAUGGGUUGUAAACUUCUUUUAUAUGGGAAUAAAACGUUCCACGUGUGGGAUUUUGUAUGUACCAUAUGAAUAAGGAUCGGCUAACUCCGUGCCAGCAGCCGCGGUAAUACUGAGGAUCCGAGCGUUAUCCGGAUUUAUUGGGUUUAAAGGGAGCGUAGGUGGAUUGUUAAGUCAGUUGUGAAAGUUUGCGGCUCAACCGUAAAAUUGCAGUUGAAACUGGCAGUCUUGAGUACAGUAGAGGUGGGCGGAAUUCGUGGUGUAGCGGUGAAAUGCUUAGAUAUCACGAAGAACUCCGAUUGCGAAGGCAGUUCACUGGACUGCAACUGACACUGAGGCUCGAAAGUGUGGGUAUCAAACAGGAUUAGAUACCCUGGUAGUC